GUUAAAUCCUUUCCUGUUCCAUUUACAUGAGGUUAAAUCCUUUCCUGUUAAAUACACAUUUACAUCAGGUUAAAUCCUUUCCUGUUCCAUUUACAUGAGGUUAAAUCCUUUCCUGUUCCAUUUACAUCAGGUUAAAUCCUUUCCUGUUCCAUUUACAUCAGGUUAAAUCCUUUCCUGUUCCAUUUACAUCAGGUUAAAUCCUUUCCUGUUCCAUUUACAUCAGGUUAAAUCCUUUCCUGUUCCAUUUACAUCAGGUUAAAUCCUUUCCUGUUCCAUUUACAUCAGGUUAAAUCCUUUCCUGUUCCAUUUACAUCAGGUUAAAUCCUUUCCUGUUCCAUUUACAUGAGGUUAAAUCCUUUCCUGUUCCAUUUACAUGAGGUUAAAUCCUUUCCUGUUCCAUUUACAUGAGGUUAAAUCCUUUCCUGUUAAAUACACAUUUACAUCAGGUUAAAUCCUUUCCUGUUAAAUACACAUUUACAUCAGGUUAAAUCCUUUCCUGUUCCAUUUACAUGAGGUUAAAUCCUUUCCUGUUCCAUUUACAUCAGGUUAAAUCCUUUCCUGUUCCAUUUACAUCAGGUUAAAUCCUUUCCUGUUCCAUUUACAUCAGGUUAAAUCCUUUCCUGUUCCAUUUACAUGAGGUUAAAUCCUUUCCUGUUCCAUUUACAUUAGGUUAAAUCCUUUCCUGUUCCAUUUACAUGAGGUUAAAUCCU